rnacentral:tRNA from 1 species
GCCGCCGUGGUGAAAUUGGUAGACACGCAUGUUUGAGGUGCAUGUGGGAGCAAUCCCUUAGCGGUUCGAGUCCGCUCGGCGGCACCA